UGAAAAGCUAAAAGUGAAAAAAAUUAAUGUUGUCAUUUCAGAUACAACCACAAAUAAAAUGGAUACCUUUUCAAUGAAGGUGAAUGUAGGCCAAAAAGUAUUAAUCUCUGUUAUUAAUUAAUUUAAACUUUACUUUCGACGAAGCACUAUCUAUAAUGAAUAGAACAGAAAGUGCUGGUUCAAGUGACACGAACAUGACUGCUGUCAUGUACUCACCAAGCCACCGAAAGAAAAUAGUCAAAUUAAUCUAGAGAUGGCAAAGAAUAACGUUAUGAGUAUAGCUCAAAAAUUAACUUAGCUAUUUAAAAAAAAAUAAUAAUAAGUAAGGUUACGUUCGUUUCAGUCUCGUUGUCAUAAUUUAUCCAUUAUUGCUAUUCAAAAUGACCACAAUUAAACCAUGAUGCACCGCUGUAUUUUUAGUAUUACUUGUACCCCUUAGACAAUACUUCUCAUUCUGUUUCAUCAGUUUUCCGCUAACCCACGAUCCCACUUUCAAGAAAAUGUCGGAUAGAGCUGAAGAGGAGUUUAACAGCUUAAUCACUUGCCUGGUGUGCACCAACACUUUUAACGAGACCGAAAAUUCGCCUCGUACUCUUCCAUGUGGACACAUAUUUUGCCUGAAUUGUCUUGAGAGAAUUUGUAUUAUAAAUCAUCUGGGGGGGGGGAAGGAAUUGACUUGCCCACUUUGCAAAAAGGAUCAUUCAAUUACUUCUUCUAUAAGAGAAUCUACGUUGGAAUCGUAUCAGACGUUGUACCUUGUGAAAUUGCCAAGGGUGGUGGCACCCACUGCUACAGACAGUAGUUAUUUGUUCAUUUAUUUUAAAACUCAAAAUAACAAUAAAUUACAUUUACAGCAGCAGUAAAACCAUCAAAUCUUAACAUUGAGCAACCUAUCCUGCGUCCCCCCCCCGUGGAGGAUAUAACCCCGCUACUAAAUUACCCCACCCGUGACCAAUGUAUGUUAUUGGACGCUGAGCCUAGAGACCAAGCGAUGCCAUCUGUAGGGAGGGCCCGCGGUCAUCCCGGUACGUUAAGUGAUUCGUCGAGGCUAUCUCUACGUAGAACACGCGGACGAGGGGAACUAUUUGCGGAACCUACGCCAAGAUAUUCCCCGUAUUCUCGAGUGAAUUUGUCGAGAAGGAUGAAUUCCCCACCAUCGGCCAGAAAAUCGAAGGCAUCUUCUUCAAGCCCGUCUCCACGUGCGGGAUCACCAAAUCCGGGACCGUUUAGACGAUCCCUGUCACCUAGGCCAGGCCCGUCUACCCGAUCGACGUCCCCAAGGCCAGGACCCUCUAGAAGAUCGUGGUCGCCACCAAAACUAAAUUAUGGGGGGGGCGGAGAAAUACUCCACUGUGAAGGAGGAACUACGUGGGAAAAUGACGAAGAAAUCUGAUAAGACAACUAUUUCAAUCAAAGAAAAACGAUAAGGAAACCAAGGAUUUCUUCCUGUGCAACAUUCGACACGAUUUCUCUACCGACGAACCCUAUUAUGCUCCAGAAUUUUUUUAUUGGGAUAUUCUGGAAGAAAACGGCCUCGGUUGGCGAAAAAAUGUCGUUGUCAAUUCGUUUCAAUUACAACAAGGAAAGCGUACAUGAAAAGCUGGUACAGCUGUAUCCACGUCUCCGUGAGUGCCAACAAAAAUAUUACAUCUGAUGUGUAACAAGGGGGGACGAAGCCAAGAGUUAAGAAUGGUUAAUGUGGGCCCAGCUUCUGGAACAACUAUUACUCAAUUACCAAAAACCCUGUACCUCGUCCCCAUGGUAAGGGAUAUCAGCGUGGAAGGCGUCGCGGAAGAAGUCCGCGAAGAAGACCUGAAAUGUGAAUACUGCAGAAACAUCUUCACAAUGGCGGACUGGGAUAACCACUUGGAGGGGAUAUGUCGGCGAGAUGGUCGACAACAAAGUAGCAAUAGAGAAUCAGAAAACAGGAAUGUAGACGAAGAAUUUGUAGAUUUGUGGGAUGAAGAAUACUCGAAUAUAUGUUAAAAAGUAAACUAUA